rnacentral:rRNA from 1 species
UUAAGUUAGAAAGGGCGCACGGUGGAUGCCUUGACACUAGGAGUCGAUGAAGGACGGGACUAACGCCGAUAUGCUUCGGGGAGCUGUAAGUAAGCUUUGAUCCGAAGAUUUCCGAAUGGGGAAACCCACCAUACGUAAUGGUAUGGUAUCCUUAUCUGAAUACAUAGGGUAAGGAAGACAGACCCAGGGAACUGAAACAUCUAAGUACCUGGAGGAAGAGAAAGCAAAUGCGAUUUCCUGAGUAGCGGCGAGCGAAACGGAACAUAGCCCAAACCAAGAGGCUUGCCUCUUGGGGUUGUAGGACAUUCUAUACGGAGUUACAAAGGAACGAGGUAGACGAAGCGACCUGGAAAGGUCCGUCGUAGAGGGUAACAACCCCGUAGUCGAAACUUCGUUCUCUCUUGAAUGUAUCCUGAGUACGGCGGAACACGUGAAAUUCCGUCGGAAUCUGGGAGGACCAUCUCCCAAGGCUAAAUACUCCCUAGUGAUCGAUAGUGAACCAGUACCGUGAGGGAAAGGUGAAAAGCACCCCGGAAGGGGAGUGAAAGAGAUCCUGAAACCGUGUGCCUACAAAUAGUCAGAGCCCGUUAACGGGUGAUGGCGUGCCUUUUGUAGAAUGAACCGGCGAGUUACGAUCCCGUGCGAGGUUAAGCUGAAGAGACGGAGCCGCAGCGAAAGCGAGUCUGAAUAGGGCGUUUAGUACGUGGUCGUAGACCCGAAACCAGGUGAUCUACCCAUGUCCAGGGUGAAGUUCAGGUAACACUGAAUGGAGGCCCGAACCCACGCACGUUGAAAAGUGCGGGGAUGAGGUGUGGGUAGCGGAGAAAUUCCAAUCGAACCUGGAGAUAGCUGGUUCUCCCCGAAAUAGCUUUAGGGCUAGCCUUAAGUGUAAGAGUCUUGGAGGUAGAGCACUGAUUGGACUAGGGGUCCUCAUCGGAUUACCGAAUUCAGUCAAACUCCGAAUGCCAAUGACUUAUCCUUAGGAGUCAGACUGCGAGUGAUAAGAUCCGUAGUCAAAAGGGAAACAGCCCAGACCGCCAGCUAAGGUCCCAAAGUGUGUAUUAAGUGGAAAAGGAUGUGGAGUUGCUUAGACAACUAGGAUGUUGGCUUAGAAGCAGCCACCAUUUAAAGAGUGCGUAAUAGCUCACUAGUCGAGUGACUCUGCGCCGAAAAUGUACCGGGGCUAAAUACACCACCGAAGCUGCGGAUUGAUACCAAUGGUAUCAGUGGUAGGGGAGCGUUCUAAGGACAGUGAAGUCAGACCGGAAGGACUGGUGGAGUGCUUAGAAGUGAGAAUGCCGGUAUGAGUAGCGAAAGACGGGUGAGAAUCCCGUCCACCGAAUGCCUAAGGUUUCCUGAGGAAGGCUCGUCCGCUCAGGGUUAGUCAGGACCUAAGCCGAGGCCGACAGGCGUAGGCGAUGGACAACAGGUUGAUAUUCCUGUACCACCUCUUUAUCGUUUGAGCAAUGGAGGGACGCAGAAGGAUAGAAGAAGCGUGCGAUUGGUUGUGCACGUCCAAGCAGUUAGGCUGAUAAGUAGGCAAAUCCGCUUAUCGUAAAGGCUGAGCUGUGAUGGGGAAGCUCCUUAUGGAGCGAAGUCUUUGAUUCCCCGCUGCCAAGAAAAGCUUCUAGCGAGAUAAAAGGUGCCUGUACCGCAAACCGACACAGGUAGGCGAGGAGAGAAUCCUAAGGUGUGCGAGAGAACUCUGGUUAAGGAACUCGGCAAAAUGACCCCGUAACUUCGGGAGAAGGGGUGCUUUCUUAACGGAAAGCCGCAGUGAAUAGGCCCAAGCGACUGUUUAGCAAAAACACAGCUCUCUGCGAAGCCGUAAGGCGAAGUAUAGGGGGUGACACCUGCCCGGUGCUGGAAGGUUAAGGAGAGGGGUUAGCGUAAGCGAAGCUCUGAACUGAAGCCCCAGUAAACGGCGGCCGUAACUAUAACGGUCCUAAGGUAGCGAAAUUCCUUGUCGGGUAAGUUCCGACCCGCACGAAAGGUGUAACGAUUUGGGCACUGUCUCAACCAGAGACUCGGUGAAAUUAUAGUACCUGUGAAGAUGCAGGUUACCCGCGACAGGACGGAAAGACCCCGUGGAGCUUUACUGUAGCCUGAUAUUGAAUUUUGGUACAGUUUGUACAGGAUAGGCGGGAGCCAUUGAAACCGGAGCGCUAGCUUCGGUGGAGGCGCUGGUGGGAUACCGCCCUGACUGUAUUGAAAUUCUAACCUACGGGUCUUAUCGACCCGGGAGACAGUGUCAGGUGGGCAGUUUGACUGGGGCGGUCGCCUCCUAAAGUGUAACGGAGGCGCCCAAAGGUUCCCUCAGAAUGGUUGGAAAUCAUUCGUAGAGUGCAAAGGCAUAAGGGAGCUUGACUGCGAGACCUACAAGUCGAGCAGGGACGAAAGUCGGGCUUAGUGAUCCGGUGGUUCCGCAUGGAAGGGCCAUCGCUCAACGGAUAAAAGCUACCCCGGGGAUAACAGGCUUAUCUCCCCCAAGAGUCCACAUCGACGGGGAGGUUUGGCACCUCGAUGUCGGCUCAUCGCAUCCUGGGGCUGUAGUCGGUCCCAAGGGUUGGGCUGUUCGCCCAUUAAAGCGGUACGCGAGCUGGGUUCAGAACGUCGUGAGACAGUUCGGUCCCUAUCCGUCGUGGGCGUAGGAAAUUUGAGAGGAGCUGUCCUUAGUACGAGAGGACCGGGAUGGACGCACCGCUGGUGUACCAGUUGUUCUGCCAAGGGCAUAGCUGGGUAGCUAUGUGCGGAAGGGAUAAGUGCUGAAAGCAUCUAAGCAUGAAGCCCCCCUCAAGAUGAGAUUUCCCAUAGCGUAAGCUAGUAAGAUCCCUGAAAGAUGAUCAGGUUGAUAGGUUCGAGGUGGAAGCAUGGUGACAUGUGGAGCUGACGAAUACUAAUAGAUCGAGGACUUAACCAU